CCUACGGGUGGCAGCAGUGGGGAAUAUUGGACAAUGGGCGAAAGCCUGAUCCAGCCAUGCCGCGUGUGUGAAGAAGGCCUUCGGGUUGUAAAGCACUUUCAGUGGGGAAGAAAGCCUUGGGGCUAAUACCCUCGAGGAAGGACAUCACCCACAGAAGAAGCACCGGCUAACUCCGUGCCAGCAGCCGCGGUAAUACGGAGGGUGCGAGCGUUAAUCGGAAUUACUGGGCGUAAAGCGCGCGUAGGCGGUCUGAUAAGCCGGUUGUGAAAGCCCCGGGCUCAACCUGGGAACGGCAUCCGGAACUGUCAGGCUAGAGUGCAGGAGAGGAAGGUAGAAUUCCCGGUGUAGCGGUGAAAUGCGUAGAGAUCGGGAGGAAUACCAGUGGCGAAGGCGGCCUCCUGGACUGACACUGACGCUGAGGUGCGAAAGCGUGGGUAGCAAACAGGAUUAGAUACCCCUGUAGUC
rnacentral:rRNA from 1 species